UUAAACGGCCGCGGUAUCCUAACCGUGCAAAGGUAGCAUAAUCACUUGUCCCCUAAAUAGGGACUAGAAUGAAUGGCUACAUGAGGACUACCCUGUCUCUUGCAUUUAACCAAUGAAACUGAUCUUUCAGUCCAAAAGCUGAGAUACCCCCAUAAGACGAGAAGACCCUGUGGAGCUUACUAAACUAAGCUCACCAAAAUGUCCACUUAGUUUUUAGUUGGGGCGACUUCGGAGAACAAAAAAACCUCCGACAUAUCCUCAUAAGAUAUACAUAUCGACACUUUUCUUGACCCAGUAAUUACAAUUAACUGAUCAAUGAACCAAGUUACCCCAGGGAUAACAGCGCCAUCCUCUUCAAGAGUCCCCAUCGACAAGAGGGUUUACGACCUCGAUGUUGGAUCAGGACAUCCUAAUAGUGCACCCGCUAUUAAUGGUUCGUUUGUUCAACGAUUAA
rnacentral:rRNA from 1 species